rnacentral:rRNA from 1 species
AGAGCGAACGCUGGCGGCAGGCUUAACACAUGCAAGUCGAGCGCCCCGCAAGGGGAGCGGCAGACGGGAGAGUAACACGUGGGAACGUACCUUUCGGUUCGGAACAACCCAGGGAAACUUGGGCUAAUACCGGAUACGCCCGUAAGGGGAAAGAUUUAUCGCCGGAAGAUCGGCCCGCGUCUGAUUAGCUAGUUGGUGAGGUAACGGCUCACCAAGGCGACGAUCAGUAGCUGGUCUGAGAGGAUGAUCAGCCUCACUGGGACUGAGACACGGCCCAGACUCCUACGGGAGGCAGCAGUGGGGAAUAUUGGACAAUGGGCGCAAGCCUGAUCCAGCCAUGCCGCGUGGGUGAUGAAGGCCCUAGGGUUGUAAAGCCCUUUCGGCGGGGAAGAUAAUGACGGUACCCGCAGAAGAAGCCCCGGCUAACUUCGCGCCAGCAGCCGC